rnacentral:rRNA from 1 species
GAUGAACGCUGGCGGCGUGCCUAAUACAUGCAAGUCGAGCGAACAGACGAGGAGCUUGCUCCUCUGACGUUAGCGGCGGAAGGGUGAGUAACACGUGGAUAACCUACCUAUAAGACUGGGAUAACUUCGGGAAACCGGAGCUAAUACCGGAUAAUAUAUUGAACCGCAUGGUUCAAUAGUGAAAGACGGUUUUGCUGUCACUUAUAGAUGGAUCCGCGCCGCAUUAGCUAGUUGGUAAGGUAACGGCUUACCAAGGCAACGAUGCGUAGCCGACCUGAGAGGGUGAUCGGCCACACUGGAACUGAGACACGGUCCAGACUCCUACGGGAGGCAGCAGUAGGGAAUCUUCCGCAAUGGGCGAAAGCUUGACGGAGCAACGCCGCGUGAGUGAUGAAGGUCUUCGGAUCGUAAAACUCUGUUAUUAGGGAAGAACAAAUGUGUAAGUAACUAUGCACGUCUUGACGGUACCUAAUCAGAAAGCCACGGCUAACUACGUG